rnacentral:rRNA from 1 species
UACGUAGGGUGCGAGCGUUGUCCGGAAUUACUGGGCGUAAAGAGCUCGUAGGUGGUUUGUCGCGUUGUCCGUGAAAACUCACAGCUCAACUGUGGGCGUGCGGGCGAUACGGGCAGACUGGAGUACUGCAGGGGAGACUGGAAGUUCCUGGUGAUAGCGGGUGGAAUGCGCAGAGUAUCAGGAGGAACACCGGUGGCGAAGGCGGGUCUCUGGGCAGUAACUGACGCUGGAGGAGCGAAAGCUAGGGGAGCAAACGGG